GCACAUAGCCCACACUCAUUAUUUUUGUCCUAUAUAGUCUGACAAACGUAUUUAAAAUAAAAAAGCUUCAUGUGGAAAAACCUUGAAAAACAUACAAAGAAUGGUUACUGUGAAGAAAGGUCAUUUAUCUCUCAUUUACUACAGUGGUACCACAAAAAGCUAAGGUUUUGAAUACCCAGUUGGGAAGUACAAGGACAGCCCAUGCAAAAAAACAAAACCAAGGCUAAAAAGUAACUACUCAUCCAAGUAGGGGACCCCUAACUCACUGUGCCAACACACAACCGAAUACCCCCAGUGCAAGCAGUUUCUCUCUUUUCCUCUCACAAGAACAAAAAAAAAUGGUCCAUCCCCAUCUCAUCAUUAUUGCAUUAGAAGAAGAACAAGAACAAGUUAGAAGAUGCUAUUGCCAUUUGCCAGUCACAUGGCAAAAGGGGAAAAAAAAUUGCAGGAGGAGGGUGAGUGAAGAGUGAAGACAAAGCAAAGUUGUAAAAGGAAAAGACACGAGAAAAGGAAGAUAGCAGGUGGAAUGGACAUACACAUAUACAAAGGAAGUGAUACCUUAGCUUUCUGGGUAGCCGGCAUUAAUUGAGGGAGAGCCAAGUGAAGGACAAAAGAAAGAGAAAAAAACACUGAGCCCCUAUGACAUCCCCAGGUAUGUCAGAAACCUGCAGUUAGCCCCACCUCUUCCCUUUUGCUUAUGUUCUGUAAAUAUAUAUACACAUUUACUAGCCCUAUGCAUAAAAAUAUAUAAGAAUAUAUUGGAGUUGUCCCUUUAGUCUUUACGGCUGUUGUGGACCCAAUGAGUUGUUGCUGUCAAACUCCAUCUCUAUAUUUCACUAUAGUUGCAGUGGUUUUAUGGGAUCAGCUGCCACCCUUUUGCACUGUCAUUGUUAAUGCUCUGUCUACACAAAAGAUUAAAUCAUUAAAUAAAAUUCAUUAAGUAAUCAAAUUCCACCCAUCAUUCCAUGGAGGAGAGGAUUGAGUUAAUUAGAGCCGUGAAAUGAUUGAUAUUUUGGAUGAGAAUAGGCAGAUAAUAAAAUCUACUUUACAAGAC
rnacentral:lncRNA from 1 species